rnacentral:rRNA from 1 species
GAUGAACGCUGGCGGCGUGCUUAACACAUGCAAGUCGAACGGGAAACCUUUUAUUGAAGCUUCGGCAGAUUUAGCUGGUUUCUAGUGGCGGACGGGUGAGUAACGCGUGGGUAACCUGCCUUAUACAGGGGGAUAACAACCAGAAAUGGUUGCUAAUACCGCAUAAGCGCACAGGACCGCAUGGUCUGGUGUGAAAAACUCCGGUGGUAUAAGAUGGACCCGCGUUGGAUUAGCUAGUUGGCAGGGUAACGGCCUACCAAGGCGACGAUCCAUAGCCGGCCUGAGAGGGUGAACGGCCACAUUGGGACUGAGACACGGCCCAGACUCCUACGGGAGGCAGCAGUGGGGAAUAUUGCACAAUGGGGGAAACCCUGAUGCAGCGACGCCGCGUGAAGGAAGAAGUAUCUCGGUAUGUAAACUUCUAUCAGCAGGGAAGAUAGUGACGG